UGCUGGAGGUAUCAGAAGUGCGAAUGCUGACAUAAGUAACGAUAAAGCGGGUGAAAAGCCCGCUCGCCGGAAGACCAAGGGUUCCUGUCCAACGUUAAUCGGGGCAGGGUGAGUCGACCCCUAAGGCGAGGCCGAAAGGCGUAGUCGAUGGGAAACGGGUUAAUAUUCCCGUACUUGGUGUUACUGCGAAGGGGGGACGGAGAAGGCUAUGUUGGCCGGGCGACGGUUGUCCCGGUUUAAGCGUGUAGGUGUGUGUUCCAGGUAAAUCCGGUUCACUUUAACACUGAGGCGUGACGACGAGGCACUACGGUGCUGAAGCAACAAAUGCCCUGCUUCCAGGAAAAGCCUCUAAGCAUCAGGUAACAUCAAAUCGUACCCCAAACCGACACAGGUGGUCAGGUAGAGAAUACCAAGGCGCUUGAGAGAACUCGGGUGAAGGAACUAGGCAAAAUGGUGCCGUAACUUCGGGAGAAGGCACGCUGACACGUAGGUGAAGUGAUUUACUCAUGGAGCUGAAGUCAGUCGAAGAUACCAGCUGGCUGCAACUGUUUAUUAAAAACACAGCACUGUGCAAACACGAAAGUGGACGUAUACGGUGUGACGCCUGCCCGGUGCCGGAAGGUUAAUUGAUGGGGUCAGCGCAAGCGAAGCUCCUGAUCGAAGCCCCGGUAAACGGCGGCCGUAACUAUAACGGUCCUAAGGUAGCGAAAUUCCUUGUCGGGUAAGUUCCGACCUGCACGAAUGGCGUAAUGAUGGCCAGGCUGUCUCCACCCGAGACUCAGUGAAAUUGAACUCGCUGUGAAGAUGCAGUGUACCCGCGGCAAGACGGAAAGACCCCGUGAACCUUUACUAUAGCUUGACACUGAACAUUGAGCCUUGAUGUGUAGGAUAGGUGGGAGGCUUUGAAGUGUGGACGCCAGUCUGCAUGGAGCCGACCUUGAAAUACCACCCUUUAAUGUUUGAUGUUCUAACGUGGACCCGUGAUCCGGGUUGCGGACAGUGUCUGGUGGGUAGUUUGACUGGGGCGGUCUCCUCCUAAAGAGUAACGGAGGAGCACGAAGGUUGGCUAAUCCUGGUCGGACAUCAGGAGGUUAGUGCAAUGGCAUAAGCCAGCUUGACUGCGAGCGUGACGGCGCGAGCAGGUGCGAAAGCAGGUCAUAGUGAUCCGGUGGUUCUGAAUGGAAGGGCCAUCGCUCAACGGAUAAAAGGUACUCCGGGGAUAACAGGCUGAUACCGCCCAAGAGUUCAUAUCGACGGCGGUGUUUGGCACCUCGAUGUCGGCUCAUCACAUCCUGGGGCUGAAGUAGGUCCCAAGGGUAUGGCUGUUCGCCAUUUAAAGUGGUACGCGAGCUGGGUUUAGAACGUCGUGAGACAGUUCGGUCCCUAUCUGCCGUGGGCGCUGGAGAACUGAGGGGGGCUGCUCCUAGUACGAGAGGACCGGAGUGGACGCAUCACUGGUGUUCGGGUUGUCAUGCCAAUGGCACUGCCCGGUAGCUAAAUGCGGAAGAGAUAAGUGCUGAAAGCAUCUAAGCACGAAACUUGCCCCGAGAUGAGUUCUCCCUGAGACUUAGAGUCUCCUGAAGGAACGUUGAAGACGACGACGUUGAUAGGCCGGGUGUGUAAGCGCAGCGAUGCGUUGAGCUAACCGGUACUAAUGAACCGUGAGGCUUAACCUUACAACGCCGAAG
rnacentral:rRNA from 4 species